ensembl:snRNA U6 U6 spliceosomal RNA
UGCUCAUUUUGGCAGCAAUAUGCUAAAAUUGGAACGAUACAGAGAAGAUUAGCAUGGCCCCUGCACAAGGAUGACAUGUUUUUAAAAUUUUUUU